GCCCUUCGGGUCUCACUGGUGAUUCAUGAUAACUCCUCGAAUCGCAUGGCCUUGUGCCGGCGAUGGUUCAUUCAAAUUUCUUCCCUAUCAACUUUCGAUGUUUGGGUAUUGGCCAAACAUUGUUGCAACGGGUAACGGAGGGUUAGGGCUCGACCCCGGAGAAGGAGCCUGAGAAACGGCUACUACAUCCAAGGAAGGCAGCAGGCG
rnacentral:rRNA from 1 species